rnacentral:rRNA from 1 species
GAGUGCAUGAAGCUGGAAUCGCUAGUAAUCGCGGAUCAGAAUGCCGCGGUGAAUACGUUCCCGGGUCUUGUACACACCGCCCGUCACACCAUGGGAGCCGGUAACGCCCGAAGUCAGUGGCCCAACCGAGAGGGGGGAGCUGCCGAAGGCGGGACUGGUAACUGGGGUGAAGUCGUAACAAGGUAUC